CCCGACUGCUAUCGGAUUGGGAUUUAACCAUGUUAGUUGUGCGUUUCUUGGCUACAGGGGACGCAGCGUACGGCUCGGUAACACGUAGUCAACCUGCCCUGGAGACGCGGACAAACCCGGGAAACUGGGGCCUAUCCGCGAUAGAUGGCCUCAUCUGGAAGGAGAGGCCGUUGAAAAGGGCGCACGGGUAUGCUCUAUGCGCACCGCUUUAGGAUGGGACUGCGGCCGAUCAGACUGUUGGCGGGGUAAUGGCCCACCAAACCUGUAACCGGUACGGGCUUUGAGAGAAGGAGCCCGGAGAUGGACACUGAGACAAGGGUCCAGGCCCUACGGGGCGCAUCAGGCGCGAAAACUUCGCAAUGCGCGAAAGCGUGACGAGGCUAGUCCGAGUGCCCCCUGCUAAAGGGAGCUUUUCUCGGCUGUAAAUAGGCCGGGGAAUAAGGGGAGGGCAAGUCUGGUGU
rnacentral:rRNA from 1 species